UACAGAGGUCCCGAGCGUUGUUCGGAUUUACUGGGCGUAAAGGGCGCGUAGGCGGCUUGUCAAGUCACUUGUGAAAUCUCCGGGCUUAACUCGGAACGGUCAACUGAUACUGCGCGGCUAGAGUGCAGAAGGGGCAACUGGAAUUCUCGGUGUAGCGGUGAAAUGCGUAGAUAUCGAGAGGAACACCUGCGGCGAAGGCGGGUUGCUGGGCUGACACUGACGCUGACAGCGCGAAAGCUAGGGGAGCGAACGGG
rnacentral:rRNA from 1 species